GUCCACGCCCUAAACGAUGUCAACUAGGUGUUGGGGAAGGAGACUUCUUUAGUACCGCAGCUAACGCGAUAAGUUGACCGCCUGGGGAGUACGGUCGCAAGAUUAAAACUCAAAGGAAUUGACGGGGACCCGCACAAGCGGUGGAUUAUGUGGAUUAAUUCGAUGCAACGCGAAAAACCUUACCUACCCUUGACAUGUCAGAAAGAUCGCAGAGAUGUGAUUGUGCCCGAAAGGGAAUCUGAACACAGGUGCUGCAUGGCUGUCGU
rnacentral:rRNA from 1 species